rnacentral:rRNA from 1 species
CCUACGGGAGGCAGCAGUGAGGAAUAUUGGUCAAUGGGCGCGAGCCUGAACCAGCCAAGUAGCGUGAAGGAUGACUGCCCUACGGGUUGUAAACUUCUUUUAUAAAGGAAUAAAGUGAGGCACGUGUGCCUUUUUGUAUGUACUUUAUGAAUAAGGAUCGGCUAACUCCGUGCCAUCAGCCGCGGUAAUACGGAGGAUCCAAGCGUUAUCCGGAUUUAUUGGGUUUAAAGGGAGCGUAGACGGGUUGUUAAGUCAGUUGUGAAAGUUUGCGGCUCAACUGUAAAAUUGCAAUUGAUACUGGCCGCCUAGAGUGCAGUUGCGGUAGGCGGAAUUCGUGGUGUAGCGGUGAAAUGCUUAGAUAUCACGAAGAACGCCGAUUGCGAAGGCAGCCUACUAAGCUGCCACUGACAUUGAUGCUCGAAAGUGUGGGUAUCAAACAGGAUUAGAUACCCGGGUAGUC